UUUGAUAACACCACAAGGGUCCUCCCCCCUGAUGAUUCCAACUGACAAACUGCGGCUGCAGCUUUCAUAAACACCACAGGAUCUCUAGAAAUAACAGGUGCCAUUUUUGUCAAAAAUGUCCGAGGGUUAGUACGCCCCACAUGCCUGUUUCCACUCAAAGUUUGCCUUAUCUCCAAUUCCAUAGCAGUUUGCAGACUCUGAGGAUCUUCAAUGAGAUGUCGAAUGAUAGCAG
rnacentral:misc_RNA from 1 species